rnacentral:rRNA from 1 species
UACGUAGGGCGCAAGCGUUGUCCGGAAUUAUUGGGCGUAAAGAGCUCGUAGGCGGUCUGUUACGUCCGCUGUGAAAACCCAGGGCUUAACCCUGGGCUUGCAGUGGAUACGGGUAGACUAGAGGCAGGUAGGGGAGAAUGGAAUUCCCGGUGUAGCGGUGAAAUGCGCAGAUAUCGGGAGGAACACCGGUGGCGAAGGCGGUUCUCUGGGCCUGACCUGACGCUGAGGAGCGAAAGCCAGGGGAGCAAACGGG